rnacentral:rRNA from 1 species
UCUGGUGAUAAUAGCAUAGAGGUCACACCUGUUCCCAUACCGAACACAGAAGUUAAGCUCUAUUACGGCGACAAUAUUGCAUUCGUGAGAAGAUAGCGAGUUGCCAGUU